UACGAAGGGGGCUAGCGUUGCUCGGAAUUACUGGGCGUAAAGGGCGCGUAGGCGGAUAGUUUAGUCAGAGGUGAAAGCCCAGGGCUCAACCUUGGAAUUGCCUUUGAUACUGGCUAUCUUGAGUUCGGGAGAGGUGAGUGGAAUGCCGAGUGUAGAGGUGAAAUUCGUAGAUAUUCGGCGGAACACCAGUGGCGAAGGCGACUCACUGGCCCGAUACUGACGCUGAGGCGCGAAAGCGUGGGGAGCAAACAGGG
rnacentral:rRNA from 1 species